rnacentral:rRNA from 1 species
GACGAACGCUGGCGGCGUGCUUAACACAUGCAAGUCGAACGGAAAGGCCCUGCUUUUGUGGGGUGCUCGAGUGGCGAACGGGUGAGUAACACGUGAGUAACCUGCCCUUGACUUUGGGAUAACUUCAGGAAACUGGGGCUAAUACCGGGUAGGAGCUCCUGCUGCAUGGUGGGGGUUGGAAAGUUUCGGCGGUUGGGGAUGGACUCGCGGCUUAUCAGCUUGUUGGUGGGGUAGUGGCUUACCAAGGCUUUGACGGGUAGCCGGCCUGAGAGGGUGACCGGCCACAUUGGGACUGAGAUACGGCCCAGACUCCUACGGGAGGCAGCAGUGGGGAAUAUUGCACAAUGGGCGGAAGCCUGAUGCAGCAACGCCGCGUGCGGGGUGACGGCCUUCGGGUUGUAAACCGCUUUCGCCUGUGACGAAGCGUGAGUGACGGUAAUGGGUAAAGAAGCACCGGCUAACUACGUG